GAUUUGAAAAUAAAACAAAUCAAAAUUUUAUUUGUGAAAAAUUAUUUUUGAGAACAAAUAUGUGCACUCUAAAAGAAGAUCGUGUCCUUCAAAAAAUAUUGACAUAUUAAUUGAUUUAUAAUACGAAUCCAUUUGGUCGUGCAUUCGUUUACAUGAACGAUCGAUCGAUGCCAAUCAACACCGAAUAAUCGAACCGAACCACUGAACACGUACGAACGUAAAUGGACGUAAACGGAAGCUCGUUGAUAUUUCAAUCCCACUGUGAAUAUAACACUCUAAGUAUAACACAAAAAUGAAUUAAUCCCUUAAUAUUUUAAAAUCACGUAACAAUUUUCCAAUGAACGAGUUCAUCACCAAUGACACGAUUGUAAUCGCGAUAACACAAUAGUAGAAAGAUUUUGAUCGACGUGUUUCAAAGGAAACCGAAACUCGGCCGCCGAUUAAGUUACUUUGGCUUCCUCUAUCGCAUGCUCUGCGCAGAAUUACGCUGUGCAGGACGGCUUGGUCACAAUACUAGUUCAUUGUAGGGCUUCAAGGGCUCAUCAUGCAAGUAUAUACGUAGAAUGAAAAUCGAGGCUAAUGUAUAGGUGGUGGGCUACAACUCACACAGAGAAACACACACGGACAUAGUAUCGACGAGGUGAAUGGGUCGAGAACACAAUGCGCGCCAUUUCCAGGUAUCGGGAAGUCUCAUUCCUAAUCAAAAUCCCAGUUUGCCUGGCUAAUAGCUCAAGCUGAAAUCGUCUCGUCUUCUCUGCAUCGUAACUUAUCGAUAUACGUAAUUGGAUUAACCGACGGUUAAUUUUCAUCGUGGAUAAUCAUUUUCGUGUGAUUGAAAAUUUAAAAAAAUUUUAAAAAUGGAUCGAAAUCUAAUUUUUAGAUUUACAAAUUGUAGAAGAUCGGAUGAUCUUUGAAGAUUUAGAAGAAUCUGAUUUUUUCUUGUGAUUCUCUCUGGCGUUUCUCGAUGAUGUUAAUAAUAAGAGAAUGAUCAUAAUUAUGUAUAACGAAUUUCAAGUUUCUAGAAUUUAAAAACCUAAUUUCUUUAAAAUCAAAAUCAUGAUUACAAUUUUAAUUUAACUUUCUCACGUGUUACUCUCAUUCUAUCUUGAAAAACCAAAAUUUAAUGAAACAAUUGUGAGAGAUAAACAGUGAAAUAAAGGAAAAUGAAUAAAUGAAAAUGAAGGAUACGAAUAACAAAGAAAUUUUGAAAUCCUGAAAAUCUGAAGAAAAAUCAAGAAUCGUUCUAGAAUUUUGAUUUCAAUGCAUUUAUUGUAUUUCAAUUCAUGAGAUCGAAUAAUGAAACAUGUACAAAUCUUGGAUUGAAGAAAAAAUGAAAUUUCUUGAUACAAUACACGAGAAACGAAUGUAGAAGAAAAGAGAAAUACUCGGCCAAGACUUUUUCAAAUUGUACACAAAUAAUAAAUCGAACUGUUUGGAACAAUCGAGGGCCAGAUGUAAUUGAAUAUACGUCGUCGUUAGGUUUAAUGGAAGGAUUCGGUAUCGAAAAUCGAUAGUCGCACCGACCGACUCUGUUGAAGUAUUACGAAUUCAGUAGAUGCAUCUGUUACGUCAAAUUACGAAAGUUCCUGGAGGGGAACUGGUUUCUCCGCGUUUCUCACGGCUGACUAAUGCCGGGCAUCAACUACUUGGCUGCAUUUCGUCGGCUGGAUGUGCGUGCUCCUCCCCUUGGUGUCUGCCAAUGGUGUCUGACGAAUUAUGGACUUUUGUCACUGUUCAAAUGCAGUUGGUCGGAUCGUUCUACUGAAAUGUUGUAGAAAAGGAGGAGAAAAGAAAAAGAAGAAGAAGAAGAAGAAGAAGAAGAAGAAGAAGAAGAAGAAGAAGAAGAAAAAGAAGAUCUUUCUGGAACGUGAUGAUUAAUAAUUCCUUCUGCAUUUCUCUUUUCUCAACUUAUGCCGCAUUUUCAAUUUUAAUUCAUCUUCUGUUUGUCUUAUUUAAAAAACUUCUUUACUCGCUUAAAGUUUAUCUGUCAUUGGAAGAUGAUUUUUAAAUAUUUUGGGAAAUGAAAAUUUUAGAUUUUCUUUUUAUAUUAGUGUCAUAAAAAAAAUAUUUUUGGGGACGAGAAUUUAAAUUUUUUUUAUAUAAAUAUCGUAGAAGACAAAUUUUGAAUAUUUUAAAGGACCAAAAUUUUCUUUUUAUGUCACUGUUUGUCACAAGGAGGGCAAUUUUUAAAUAUUUUUGAGCAAAAUUUAUGGUUUACUUUUUAUAUCACAGAAGGCAAAUUUUGAAUAUUUUAAGGAACAGAAAUUUGAAGUUUUCUUCUUAUAUCAAUGUCUAUCGUAAGAAAUGAAAUUUUUUAAUAUUUUGCAAGAACAAAGUUUAAGAUUUUCUUAAAUUUACUAUUCUCGUUUCCCUCUAAGAAAUUUCAAAGAACUACCCAGUUUUCAAACCUUGCUUGCGAUAAAUCCUAGACAGGUGACCCAUUACCUUCUCGUACCAUCGCGGGACUAUAUUUUAUUACGCAAUAAAAUAUGGACCCCUCGAGUGCUUUUCCAUUUAUCGCGCUGACGAUCACGAGCCUACCAACUCUGCAUCACUAAAUCACUCUACCAUUCUACUUUGAUUUUCCAAUUUUUCAAACUUGUAUUUUUUUUUCUAUUUCUUAUUGCUUAUCACGAAAAAAAAUCGAUACUGUGUGAAAUGAAAUAAUUUCAGGUAUCAUUAUAGAAGAAUAAUGACGAACAAUGAACGUCUCAGUGGAUAAAUGCCGGAUCAAAAGGGAAAGAAAUCACCAUAGUUCAACCGAUAUAGAUGGCGCGCGUUUAACCGUGAAAUUCUCUCGUAUUCCGUGACUUCCACCAAUGAGAGAAGCGUAUGAACAAAGAUAAAAGAAGACCGAGGAAAUAAGUGGUUAUCCUGGAAAAGCGAACAAACAACUCGAAAGAUCUUAGAAUAUAUGUUUAUACGUAUCGUAAGGUUCUUUACGUGAGCCGGGAUUAGAAGCCUCGAUUUAUCUUCCGUUUCGAGAGCUUUGAGAGUGGAAAGGUUCGAGAAAUGCGUCCUCCUGUGCGAUAAAAAGUAGGAGACAGAGGGGGGAAGAGUUGCACGCCACGAUAUGAGGUUUUUAGUUACUUGUCAACAAAGGAACUGAGAUCGUUCGACGGUGGAUUUCUUAGGAAAUAAUCGAAUAAGGAGAGUUAUCAAAUUCUAAGCACGAUUCGAGUCGAUUGAAUCGAAGGAGGUGGGAAGCCUGUUGAGCUAUCAUCGAGGUGACCCGUAUAUCUCCAAUCCGGCGACUCCUUUCUUGUCACCGGCUCUCAGGCUGAAUCUAGUUCCUCUGAGGAUCCAUUUGCAAGAGAGAUGUACCAGAGCCAAGGGGAAGCCAAUACGAGAGAUACCACGCGAUCAGUGGCCUAUCAACCAGAGUGCUUUUGCGGUUUCCCUUUCCUCGAAGAAAAAGAAAAUCAUUGGUGGAAUGACGUUUGAUCGUAUCGAGAUCCUCGGAUAAAUCUCUCCUUCUGGAAUUUCUAUUAUUUGGCUUCCAUUCUUUCACGCUAAUUAUUAUUAAUUACCUGUUCUUUCUCUUCAGUUAUUAAAUCGAAUUUUAAUGGAAAUAUAUAUAUAUAUAUAUAUUUUUUACAUUAUAUAAUUUUUAGUGAGAUCUGAUAAUCUAUUGAAGCAUGCAUGUAUUUAGUUUAUGGGAAUUAUAUAUAAAAUUACUCAUUAAAUACAAGAACAAUACUACUGUAAUUAUACAUAUAUAAUAUAAUUAUACAUAUAUAUUAUAUAUUGUAUAUUAUACAUGAAUAUUAUUGUAUAUACAUAUUGAAUAAUUGUUAUAUCAAUCAUUGUAUUGUUUCAAGAUAGAUAGAACAACAACAAUGCAAUAUUACAACUUUUCGAAACACCAUUUUUAACCAGUUUAAACAAAAUAGGAAAAUCACAACAUCAUUGUAUAAAGCUAGUAGAGAAAACGUGAAGCCAAAAAAUGUACAAGUUCCUGAGACGCGAGACGUCCGAUUAAAAUUCCAGCUAUGUUCGAUUUACGGUAGCAUGAAAGCGGCUUGGUAUCCUUUUGAAAACGAACACCCGUGGGAGUUGCAUCCAUCUCUGCAGCCAUCGUCUCCCUCGUUUAUCCGUGCGCGCCUACUUUAUUUCCAUAUUUUCCUGCACGGCGUCGAUCCUUGUGCGUUCGUCGCCUCUGGCUGGAUGUUUCAAACGAGAGAGAUGAGAAAAAAAAGAGGAGAAAAAAAUAUAGGGGAAAAAUGAACGAAGAGGAAAUGAUCCCUGAAUCCACCCUUAGCCGCCGGCUAUCAUCCUUCCUCUCGGUCUAGUCCCGAUAAACGACCAGACGAAUUUCACUGCCCUCCUAUCCGAGUCGAAAUAGAAUUUACUUGACACGUUAAGACGACGCUUUUCUUCGUUUUUAUGCAAUCUUGGCAUUGGAUGAUUAAAAGAGGAGAGACAACUCUUAUCUCUCAGAGGAAAAAGUAAAGAAGGAAAUUUCUUUAUCGAUGAAAGAUUUGUAUUUAUUUAUUUGUCACAUUGUAAUUUUAAGAUUCAAAAAUUUUAAUGUGUCUUAUAAUAAUUAUAAUAAAUCAAUUAAACUAUUUUGCGUUAAUGAAUAUUGUUAAUGAUAAAUGUACAAUUAUUUUUCAAUUUUUUCUCAAAGUGUUCAAAUUAUAUAUUAAUUUGAAUCAAUAAUUAUUUACGAAAAUGUAUUUUUUUCUUCUUGAUCUUGAUGAUUUUUAAUAUGUUAUCAUUUUGAAGUUGUGAAAAUUUUAUUUGGCGUUUAUUAAUUAUAUUAUUAAGAAGUUAUUAAAAAUAAAAAAACUUUUUUUUGAAACAAGUUUAACUUAGAUUGGAUCAAUUUUGAUUUUUUUUUGCUACAGAAAAUUGAUAGCUAAUUAAAUAAAUUUUUAUUUAAUUUUGAUUUAAGAUUUAGAUUUAAUACGAAUUAAACUUUGAUUUCAAACAAAAAUUUAUUUAAAUAUCAUGGUCUAUAUUGGAUUUAGGUUAAGUUAGGCUAGAUCAAUAACUUUUUAAUAAACAACGAUCAAGUAAAACCUUCACAACACAAUAUGAUGAUUUUGAUAUUGUAUUAAAAGAAAUCAUCGAAAUUAAAGAUAUGAUGAUAUCUUUUUAUAAAUAUUUAUUUAUCCUUUUUUAGGACAUAUACUCCACGUUAAUUUAUUUCAUAAUAAAUCCAACUUUUUUAAGAAAAUAAAAAGAUGAAAUAUAGGAUAAAUUGAAAUACAUAAAUUUAGACUAAACGAGAAGUUGGAAAGUUUUAGAGAAUUGAUCGCCUCAGAGGGCAAUAUUUCGUCUUCAUACUAAACGAGGUAAUCGCGAGCAGUAGGCGAACGUGCAACUUGUUUAUACGCUGCAGUUGAAUCCUCGUUGCCAAGUAGGGUCGGUUUGCCAUUGGCGAUUCGCCAGCCACGCGUAACAACGCCUCCAAAUUCCCGAUUUUCCAUGAUAUAGCUUUACAUUUUCCUAAUUUUCGCCGUUAUUCGAAACAAAAUUCUUUGUUUUCUCUUGAAAUAAAUAAAUUUCAAUUUCGAUAAUUAUAAUUUUUCCUAGAUUUUCUAUUUUAGAUUAAUAUCAUUCGUAUUUGAAAAAAUGAAUUUUUAAACUAAUAAGAUGGUUUUUUAAUUUUUUGAUAAAAGAUAGGUUGAGAUUAAGCCAAAUUUUCAUUAAAAACAUUACAUCCGCCAUGAUAGUUGUAAGUUGGAAAAUUAUCGACGAUAUCGACAUCUCGUUGCCAUGUCGUAAAUUACAAAAAUCUCACAAAGAUGCGCCAUUAGACACUAUCUACCAACUUUUUUCAUCUUUUUUAUACACUCGUUCUCGUGCUGUUCUGUUUCAAGUUUCGCCGAUACAUUUUUGUAUUUCGUUCAACAGAAAUUUCCGUAAAAUCGAAUUUUGUUCGCUCGUGAAUAUAUGUAUUUUUUCUUUUUUCCAUUUUUUUUUUCGAUUGUUCUUCUAUAACAGAGAUAGUUUCGUGCAGAUGAAUGUUCCGCUUUAAAGUUAAACUGGUCGUGAAGCUGGUCGGUACAGGAUAAACUGGCACGUAUGAAUUUAAAUACAUUUUCAUGCUACGCUUUUUUUUUAUCCGCUGCACAAUUUCGGUUGUAAAAGGAUUCUUGUUAUGCGCAGAAGGUUGAAAGUAAAUUUAAAACUAACAAAGAACUCUUCUAAUAAAAUAAUCAUGUACAUGCAUCAAUCCUUGCACUUUUUGAACUUUUCCAUUCAUGUUCUCGUUUUUUCGAAAUAUUUUUUUAUCCUAAAAAUUCUCUCUCUUUUUUUGAAAUUCCUUUUUAUCCUUUAAAAUCGUCAUCAAAAAAAAAAAAGCCAAAAUCGAAAUCUUUGAUCUUUAAAUCUUUAAAUCUUUUGCAUCGAAAAAGAUCAAAUAUUUUCCAUAACGAGACACUUUGCGUGUAAUCGUUUUUCAGUUGCAGAACUUUGUCUCUUAGCCGGUGUAAAGGGAUUACACGAGAGAUCAGAAUACUUUGCAAGUCGCCGCUUUGUUGGUUCGCGAGACAACGCAGCCCGCGCGAAAAAGGAUCCCCACGGUCACGUAUACGACUCGGCAGUUCACGAUUCCUAUUAAAUAAACUGCAAACUCGUGUGCAACCUGCAUUCAAGCGAACGAACGCGUCGUUUUUGUUCCUAUAAUGGUACAACGCUGCUUUUUGUACGCAUGCAAGAACGAGCAUCAUUUUUAAUUCCUCUUCUAUCUUUCACCGUCCAGAAUCCGUUUCAUUUAUGGAUUUUAAAGAUUCGAACGGAAACACAAAGUAAAGAAAAUGAAGUAAAUGACAUCGAAAGAGAUUUUUAAAACUCGAAAAUUUUCGAGUGUAUAUUCCUUGGUAAGUAAUUAUUAUUAUAGCAAAAAUUGGCAAUGAUACGAUGUUUGAAUAGAGUAUCUCAGUGAUAGUUAUAUUAAAUGAUAGCGUGAAUCUCCAGCGAGUUACUCUCAACGUUAUAUAAAGGAUUAGUUAUUACACAUAUGUGAUGCUGCAUAUGGCUAGGGAAUAUGGAGUGUAGGCGAAAGGUGUUCGGUAAAAUUUGGAAGCUUACUCGAGAAUUUAUCUUGGGAUGUGUUGAACAAAUGAGGAUGAAAAGUUUAAUUUAUAGAAAGAGAUGAGAGUGACUUGUAUUUUAUGCUUUGAGGUCGGUUUCGAGGCCAGAGGAAUGUAUUCAAAAGUUGAGAAGCUAACGUGUUUGAUAAUUACAUUCAAUGGUAAGAAAAAAAAAAUUGUACACGAGUUCAAAGAGAAGAAAGUUUUUAAAAUACUAUGUCAUAUAUUUUCGCCGAAAGUUUUUCACGAAACUUCACUAUAUAAUAGAAAAAAAUCCAUUGCAAUAUUAUAUAAAAGAACUCUUUUUAGAAAAUUACUAUUUUUAUCUAUCUCAAGUUAAAAAAUUUCAUAGUGAUGGACAACAAAGUGCUAACACUUUGAUUAACCUUAAAUUAAUACGAUAGCUAUCAAAAGAGUGAAAAUAGUGAAAAUAGUGAAAAUAGUGAAAAAAGUAUCGGCAAUUCACAGAGUGGUCGUACCAGAACCGGAAGUGAAGGAGUCGAGGAAUGGAUAUAGAGUUUUGACCCAAAUGGCCGACCAGUUGGCCGUUGGCCAGUUCCCUGUAUCCAUGCACUCGGCAUCCAGGUCUUUACUUAUAUUUUUCGAU